GCUUCAAUGCAGUCGACGGCGCACGGGUGCUUGCACCUGGUGGCGAGUGGCGAACGGGUGAGUAAUAUAUCGGAACGUACCCUAGAGUGGGGGAUAACGCAGCGAAAGUUGCGCUAAUACCGCAUACGAUCUACGGAUGAAAGUGGGGGAUCGCAAGACCUCAUGCUCAUGGAGCGGCCGAUAUCUGAUUAGCUAGUUGGUGGGGUAAAAGCCUACCAAGGCAUCGAUCAGUAGCUGGUCUGAGAGGACGACCAGCCACACUGGAACUGAGACACGGUCCAGACUCCUACGGGAGGCAGCAGUGGGGAAUUUUGGACAAUGGGCGCAAGCCUGAUCCAGCAAUGCCGCGUGAGUGAAGAAGGCCUUCGGGUUGUAAAGCUCUUUUGUCAGGGAAGAAACGGUGAGGGCUAAUAUCCUUUGCUAAUGACGGUACCUGAAGAAUAAGCACCGGCUAACUACGUGCCAGCAGCCGCGGUAAUACGUAGGGUGCAAGCGUUAAUCGGAAUUACUGGGCGUAAAGCGUGCGCAGGCGGUUAUGUAAGUCAGAUGUGAAAUCCCCGGGCUCAACCUGGGAAUGGCAUUUGAGACUGCAUGGCUAGAGUGUGUCAGAGGGGGGUAGAAUUCCACGUGUAGCAGUGAAAUGCGUAGAGAUGUGGAGGAAUACCGAUGGCGAAGGCAGCCCCCUGGGAUAACACUGACGCUCAUGCACGAAAGCGUGGGGAGCAAACAGGAUUAGAUACCCUGGUAGUCCACGCCCUAAACGAUGUCUACUAGUUGUCGGGACUUAAUUGUCUUGGUAACGCAGCUAACGCGUGAAGUAGACCGCCUGGGGAGUACGGUCGCAAGAUUAAAACUCAAAGGAAUUGACGGGGACCCGCACAAGCGGUGGAUGAUGUGGAUUAAUUCGAUGCAACGCGAAAAACCUUACCUACCCUUGACAUGUACGGAACCUCUGAGAGAUUAGAGGGUGCUCGAAAGAGAGCCGUAACACAGGUGCUGCAUGGCUGUCGUCAGCUCGUGUCGUGAGAUGUUGGGUUAAGUCCCGCAACGAGCGCAACCCUUGUCAUUAGUUGCUACGAAAGGGCACUCUAAUGAGACUGCCGGUGACAAACCGGAGGAAGGUGGGGAUGACGUCAAGUCCUCAUGGCCCUUAUGGGUAGGGCUUCACACGUCAUACAAUGGUACAUACAGAGGGCCGCCAACCCGCGAGGGGGAGCUAAUCCCAGAAAGUGUAUCGUAGUCCGGAUUGUAGUCUGCAACUCGACUACAUGAAGUUGGAAUCGCUAGUAAUCGCGGAUCAGCAUGUCGCGGUGAAUACGUUCCCGGGUCUUGUACACACCGCCCGUCACACCAUGGGAGCGGGUUUCACCAGAAGUAGGUAGCCUAACCGCAAGGAGGGCG
rnacentral:rRNA from 1 species